AGUUUGAUCUGCUCAGGACGAACGCUGGCGGCGUGCUUAACACAUGCAAGUCGAGCGGAAAGGCCACUUCGGUGGUACUCGAGCGGCGAACGGGUGAGUAACACGUGAGUAAUCUGCCUCUGGCUUCGGGAUAGCCACCGGAAACGGUGAUUAAUACCGGAUACGACACGCUCUUGCAUGAGAUGUGUGUGGAAAGUUUUUUCGGCCAGGGAUGUGCUCGCGGCCUAUCAGCUUGUUGGUGGGGUAAUGGCCUACCAAGGCUUCGACGGGUAGCCGGCCUGAGAGGGUGACCGGCCACACUGGGACUGAGACACGGCCCAGACUCCUACGGGAGGCAGCAGUGGGGAAUAUUGGACAAUGGGCGGAAGCCUGAUCCAGCAACGCCGCGUGAGGGAUGACGGCCUUCGGGUUGUAAACCUCUUUCAGCACAGACGAAGCGCAAGUGACGGUAUGUGCAGAAGAAGGACCGGCCAACUACGUGCCAGCAGCCGCGGUAAUACGUAGGGUCCGAGCGUUGUCCGGAAUUAUUGGGCGUAAAGGGCUCGUAGGCGGUUUGUCGCGUCGGGAGUGAAAACACCGGGCUUAACUCGGUGCUAUGCUUUCGAUACGGGCAGACUAGAGGCAUUCAGGGGAGAACGGAAUUCCUGGUGUAGCGGUGAAAUGCGCAGAUAUCAGGAGGAACACCGGUGGCGAAGGCGGUNCUCUGGGAAUGUCCUGACGCUGA
rnacentral:rRNA from 1 species